UACGGGGGGGGCAAGCGUUGUUCGGAAUUACUGGGCGUAAAGGGCUCGUAGGCGGUCCAUCGCGUCGGGAGUGAAAAGCUGGGGCUUAACCCCAGUCCUGCUUCCGAUACGGGUGGACUAGAGGUAGGCAGGGGAGAACGGAAUUCCUGGUGUAGCGGUGAAAUGCGCAGAUAUCAGGAGGAACACCGGUGGCGAAGGCGGUUCUCUGGGCCUGUACUGACGCUGGAGGAACGAAAGCGUGGGGAGCGAACAGG
rnacentral:rRNA from 1 species